rnacentral:rRNA from 1 species
ACGGGAGGCAGCAGUGGGGAAUAUUGGGCAAUGGGGGAAACCCUGACCCAGCAACGCCGCGUGAAGGAAGAAGGCCUUCGGGUUGUAAACUUCUUUUACCAGGGACGAUAAUGACGGUACCUUGUGAAUAAGCCACGGCUAACUACGUGCCAGCAGCCGCGGUAAUACGUAGGUGGCAAGCGUUGUCCGGAUUUACUGGGUGUAAAGGGCGUGUAGCCGGGUCGGUAAGUCAGAUGUGAAAUCCACGGGCUUAACUCGUGAACUGCAUUUGAAACUGCUGAUCUUGAGUAUCGGAGAGGCAAUCGGAAUUCCUAGUGUAGCGGUGAAAUGCGUAGAUAUUAGGAGGAACACCAGUGGCGAAGGCGGAUUGCUGGACGACAACUGACGGUGAGGCGCGAAAGCGUGGGGAGCAAACAGGAUUAGAUACCUGGUA